rnacentral:rRNA from 1 species
UGAGGUUCGGGAUCACGGUCAGAUUGAACGCUGGCGGGAUGUUUAUAUUUAUAAGUCGAAUGGCAGCACGGACUUCGGUCUGCGGGCGAGUGGCGGAACGGUGAGUAAUGCAUCGGAACGUGCCUCUAGUAGCGUGAUAAUCUACGCUUAAGCGUGAAAUAAUACCGCAUACGCCGCCCCUUCGGGAAAGCGGGGGGACCUUCGCCUCGCACUAUUAGAGCGGUUGAUAUCGCGGAUUAGCUGGGGUUGGUGGGUAACGGCCCUACUAAGGUGAUGAUCCGUGCAGCUGGUUUGGAGAGGGACGACCAGCCACAUCUGGGACUGAGACAUGGCCCAGAUCACGAGGCAGCAGGGGGAAUUUUGGACAAUGGGGGAAACCCUGAUCCAGCCAUCCGCGUAAAGGGGAUGAAGGGCUCUCGGGGUUGUAAAGCACUUGGCAGGAAAGAAACGGCACGGGAUAAUACCCCGUGCAACUGACGGUACUUGCAGAAUAAGCACCGGCUAACCACGUGCCAGCAGCCGCGGUAAUACCGUAGGUGUGCGUUAAUCGGAAUUACUGGGCGUGCUGCGGUGCAGGUGGUCUGGAAAGAAAGAUGUGGAAUCCCAGGAGCUUAACUUUGGGAACUGCAUUUUUAACUACCGAGCUAGAGCGUGUCAGGAGGGGAGGUGGAAUUCCGGGUGUAGCAGUGAAAUGCGUAGAUAUGCGGAGGAACACCGAUGGCGAAGGCAGCUCUCCGGGGAUGACACUCGAUGCCUUAUGCACGAAAGUGUGGGGAGCAAACAGGAUUAGAUACCCUGGUAGUCCACGCUUAAACGAUGUCAACUAGCUAAGUUGUGGCCUUUCUGGCCUUGGUAGCGCAGCUAACGCGUGAAGUUGACCGCCUGGGGAGUACGGUCGCAAGAUUAAAACUCAAAGGAAUUGACGGGGACCUCGCACAAGCGGUGGAUGAUGUGGAUUACCUGAUGCAACGCGAAAACCUUACCUACCCUUGACAUGUCUGGAAUCCCGAAGAGAUUUGGGAGUGCUCGCAAGAGAACCGGAACACAGGUGCUGCAUGGCUGUCGUCAGCUCGUGUCGAGAUGUUGGGUUAAGUCCUGCAACGAGCGCAACUCCUUGUCAUUAGUUGCUACGAAAGGGCACUCUAACGAGACUGCCAAGUACAAACCGGAGGAAGGUGGGAUGACGUGUCAAGUCCUCAUGGCCCUUAGGUAGGGCUUGCUUAUCGCUGGCGUACAACGGCCGGACAGAGGGUCGCCAACUCCGCGAGGAGCCAAUCCCAGAAACCCGAUCGUAACUGGACCGCAGUCUGCAACUUGACUGCGUGAAGUCGGAAUCGCUAGCAGUAAUCAGGAUCAGCAUGUCGCGGUGAAUACGUUCCCGGUCUUGUACACACCGCCUGUCACACCAAGAGUGGGUUUAACAGAAGCAGUUAGCCUAACCGUAUGAGUGGCGAUUACCACGGUAGGAUUCACGACUGGGUGAAGUCGUAACAAGGUAACCCCACAUACUCUGAUGCUUCCCA